rnacentral:rRNA from 1 species
AUUGAACGCUGGCGGCAGGCCUAACACAUGCAAGUCGGGCGGUUGAGAGUAGCUUGCUACUUGAUGCAGCGGCGGACGGGUGAGUAACGCGUGGGAAUCUGCCCAGUAGUGGGGGACAACAGCCGGAAACGGCUGCUAAUACCGCAUACGCCCUACGGGGGAAAGGGGGGGAUCUGCGGACCUCUCGCUAUUGGAUGAGCCCGCGUCGGAUUAGGUAGUUGGUGGGGUAAAGGCUCACCAAGCCAACGAUCUGUAGCUGGUAUGAGAGGACGACCAGCCACACUGGAACUGAGACACGGUCCAGACUCCUACGGGAGGCAGCAGUGGGGAAUUUUGGACAAUGGACGCAAGUCUGAUCCAGCCAUUCCGCGUGCAGGAUGAAGGCCCUCGGGUUGUAAACUGCUUUUGUACGGAACGAAAAGGUCUCUCUUAAUACGGGGGACUCAUGACGGUACCGUAAGAAUAAGCACCGGCUAACUACGUGCCAGCCGCCGCAGUAA